AGAUGCGAGAGUAGAGCAUAUCAAUAAGCGGAGGAAAAGAAACUAACAAGGAUUCCCUUAGUAGCGGCGAGUGAAGCGGGAAGAGCUCAAAUUUGAAAUCUUCAAGGUUCUACCUUGACGAAUUGUAGUUUAUAGAAGUGUUUUCUGUUAGUGGAGUGGCAAAAGUUCUUUGGAAUAGGACAUCAUAGAGGGUGAGAAUCCCGUAUUUGGUCAUUCUUUCUAGCUUUGUGAUACACUUUCAACGAGUCGGAUUGUUUGGGAAUGCAGUCCAAAAUGGGUGGUAAAUUUCAUCUAAAGCUAAAUAUUGGCGAGAGACCGAUAGCGAACAAGUACCGUGAGGGAAAGAUGAAAAGAACUUUGAAAAGAGAGUUAAACAGUACGUGAAAUUGUCAAAAGGGAAGCGUUUGACACCAGUGUUGUUUUUUCCGAAAAUCAAUUACGAAUGUUUUGUAUUUUUGAAGAAGUUAUGACUUCAUCGGCUUGCUUCUCUUCUUUACGAAACUUUCUUAAUGCACUUUUCGGUUAACAAGUCAACAUCAAUUUCUUUUGUUGUAAAAGGGUAUGAGGAAGGUGGCUUUCUUUUCGGAGAAAGUGUUUAUAGCCUUGUGCCUCUGCAAUCGGAGAGAUUGAGGUCUGCAGCGUAGAUCCUUCGGGGUUAGAUACAGUUUGUGCUAAGUUAUAGCUUUUCAUAGACAACUUGUUGACUAUGUUUAGUCUUGUAGCUUACUCGCUUACUGCUAUUUUACCUACGCUUAGGAUGUUGACGAGACUGUCGAUCUC
rnacentral:rRNA from 1 species